rnacentral:rRNA from 1 species
GGCGGCGCGCCUAACACAUGCAAGUCGAACGAAGUAUAUAUAGGAAGUCUUCGGAUGGAAUAUGUAUAACUUAGUGGCGGACGGGUGAGUAACGCGUAAGUAAUCAACCUGUGACACACGGAUAACUGAUAGAAAUGUCAGCUAAUACGAGAUGAACUGUUUAGAUUGGGAAAUGGAAACAGCAAAGCGAAAGCGGUCACAGACGAGCUUGCGUCUGAUUAGCUAGUUGGUGGGGUAAGAGCCUACCAAGGCGACGAUCAGUAGCCGGCCUGAGAGGGUGAACGGCCACAUUGGAACUGAGACACGGUCCAAACUCCUACGGGAGGCAGCAGUGGGGGAUAUUGCACAAUGGGGGGAACCCUGAUGCAGCAACGCCGCGUGAGUGAAGAAGGCCCUAGGGUCGUAAAGCUCUGUCGUAUGGGAAGGAACAAAUGACUGUACCAAACAAGAAAGCCCGGU